rnacentral:rRNA from 1 species
UACAGAGGGUGCAAGCGUUAAUCGGAAUUACUGGGCGUAAAGCGUGCGCAGGCGGUCUGUUGAGUGAGAUGUGAAAUCCCCGGGCUUAACCUGGGAACUGCGUUUCUAACUGGCAGGCUAGAGUGUGGCAGAGGGGGGUGGAAUUCCACGUGUAGCAGUGAAAUGCGUAGAGAUGUGGAGGAACACCGAUGGCGAAGGCAGCCCCCUGGGCUAACACUGACGCUCAUGCACGAAAGCGUGGGGAGCAAACAGG